rnacentral:lncRNA from 1 species
AAACAAAUUAUCAUGGUAAAUAUAAAACCAUUAUCUCAGGAAUGGACAUCCCUCUAUAGAGUUGUCAGCUGUAGUAUCUGAAGGCAAAAAGCACUAUCUAUGCAGUCUCCUUGACUUCUAAGGUCCAUUCAAGAUCCUUCAGUGCCAGGACUGUGGCAGGAAGGCUUUAAUUUUUAAGAAGCUUUUCACUAAUGGAGAUGUUCUUGCUUUUUCAGGUGUCUUUGAAUACUGCAGAAACUGAGUGGCUUCUUGCUGCAGAAUAGAAUAUGGAAAGUACUGAAAGCUGUCUGUGGUGUGAUAUGGCUGAGAUCCAUGCACAAACGUACAGGAAGGAUUGCUUCUCCUGGAAGGUUGCUUUACCUAGCUCCACUGUUACUAUUCAUAUGCACAUAAGACUUGAAAAUUCUAACAACAGGAGCAUCAAGACUAUAUCUGCAGAGCUUUCUUUUCCUUCUCUUCCUGAAGACACACCAGCCCUUCAACACUGGGAGCAAUCUGUUUUGUCUUCAGUGCUGAGGAGCAGGUGGAAAAAUUCUGUGCCCAGUGUUCUGGAUUUACAGGUCCACAAAGGAUGACUAAUUUGAAGUGUUCUGGAGUUACUUUUUUUACCUGUGGUCCAGUGUGUUUGAUUUGCUAUAGAAUACACAAAUUGAAAAAAAAAAAAGUGCUUUUAAAAUACAUUAAAAGAAAAAUAAAUUAAAAAAUGACUGGAUCA